rnacentral:rRNA from 1 species
UACGUAGGGUGCGAGCGUUGUCCGGAAUUAUUGGGCGUAAAGGGCUCGUAGGCGGUUUGUCGCGUCGGGAGUGAAAGCCCAGGGCUUAACUCUGGGCUUGCUUUCGAUACGGGCAGACUAGAGGUAUGCAGGGGAGAACGGAAUUCCUGGUGUAGCGGUGAAAUGCGCAGAUAUCAGGAGGAACACCGGUGGCGAAGGCGGUUCUCUGGGCAUUACCUGACGCUGAGGAGCGAAAGUGUGGGGAGCGAACAGG